rnacentral:tRNA from 1 species
GCCCUGGUGGUGCAAUGGUUAAGCACUUGACUGCUGACCAAAAGGCUGGUGGUUCAAAUCCACCCAGGAUCU